rnacentral:rRNA from 1 species
GACGAACGCUGGCGGCGUGCUUAACACAUGCCAGUCGAACGGAAAGGCCCUGCUUUUGUGGGGUGCUCGAGUGGCGAACGGGUGAGUAACACGUGAGUAACCUGCCCUUGACUUUGGGAUAACUUCAGGAAACUGGGGCUAACACCGGAUAGGAGCUCCUGCUGCAUGGUGGGGGUUGGAAAGUUUCGGCGGUUGGGGAUGGACUCGCGGCUUAUCAGCUUGUUGGUGGGGUAGUGGCUUACCAAGGCUUUGACGGGUAGCCGGCCUGAGAGGGUGACCGGCCACAUUGGGACUGAGAUACGGCCCAGACUCCUACGGGAGGCAGCAGUGGGGAAUAUUGCACAAUGGGCGGAAGCCUGAUGCAGCAACGCCGCGUGCGGGAUGACGGCCUUCGGGUUGUAAACCGCUUUCGCCUGUGACGAAGCGUGAGUGACGGUAAUGGGUAAAGAAGCACCGGCUAACUACGUG